CACUGAACGAGCUGGAAAAUAGCUAAAAUGAAGAGCUGAUGUUGUGGCACUGUGCUGGUGCCAUGUUGGGCCAGCAGAGGCCCCAGGACCUGGACAAGGCUGGCGCUGGAAGAAACCAAAGGAUGGUCCUCUGGCCUCAAUAUCUGCACGAUUAGCAGAGGUACAAACUAAAAAAUACCACAAAUGCUAUAGCAGCAGGCCAUAAGAUGAGAUUCUUACGUGACUGACCCCUUCACAGCCAUUUUAUUUCAAGACACCAGUGAAAUUUGAAACCAGAACAUGUUUAAUUUGCUUUUGGCUUUCAAAUAUUAUCAAAAAUAGUUACAUGGAACUAAGCAAGUGUUUCUUGCCCACCGCACUGUGGAAACACAGGACUGUCUUCUUAAGACAAAAUAGCUAUGCCACGUAGGUGACACCAAUUACCCCCAGUGCAGGCCCUGACGAGCAGGAGGAAAUUGCAAAGAGCUGCAGCAAUAAGGAGUGGGAGCUGGGGUAGUGUGAGGUAUCUGACUUAAGGGAGGAAAGGUGAAGGAAAUAACUUUUGAACUCCAAAUACAAGUGAAAGCAGAGCAUUAGCUGUACAGGCAGUAAAGCUUGGUAGAGUAAAAUGCUGCCUGUGAUUGUAAGCCAGACCUGGAGGACAAAGGUGAAGCCUGCAAUCAAGGUUUCUUAAUAAGACAGAUGUUCCUCAAAGGGAGAAGAAAAAUUCUUCACAGCUGCAGCAGCUAUUUCAAUCCCUCUUUGACAGAUCUUUAAUAUGACACUCUUGUCUCCCUGGAAGAACCAGAUCCCACUAGCAUGGAGUAUUCAUCCUGUACCUCAGUUCCAGCUUGCCUCCCACAUUUAAAAAGAGCAAAUGCAGUACUUCGUAUAUGGCUUUUCAGUUACGGACUGGCACAGUGGCAGUACCCGCUGAACGGAUAGAUGGAUGGGUGCCUUAACGAGCUUUGCGUGAGACCUGUAAUUUCAUGUGGCAAGGGGGUUACUAGGCUUCCAAGAUUCGAUACGUGUGUUGUUUUUUUUCUAUUUAUUUCUGUGGUAGUGGCUCUGAUUUGUUUUAUCCUGUCCCACCCCACCUUUCUGAGAAACAAGAUCUGUAUAUAGCUUUGUUCUUGCAAAUAGCUGUAGAUUGUGCAUGUAUGGGUUUAGUCCUAACAUGGGUAUCUACAGUGCUCUGAAUUCUGUACAGCUCUUCUGAACACUAUCUUAAUAUCUUCCAAUUUCUAAGAAGAAGUGGUAGUGGCUGAGCCCUAGGAAUGCAUAUAACACUGUCUUGCAAAUUUCCUUGCCUCUUAGCUUUAUUCUGAUAACAAUCUCAAAAUUGUUGUGAAACUCCAGUUGCUGAUUUCUGCAUUGUUAACAUCAGCAUAUUUUUUAGGUGUUUUAGGUAAUGGAACUAGAUGAAGGCUGAACUUUUAGGUAAAGCAUUUUAUCUCUUUGUAGCAAAACAGUAAACAGGCAUUUAGGAAUUAUCUCCCUGUGGACAAUGCAGAAAUGAACAAUGCUGCCUGUGCCAUGAACUGGAAGUUCUUUGCUUUAAGUCUUUUACUUUGGGACAGUGAUUGUGGAAAUCUUUCUGUUUCAUGUUACUUUGGACUUGUACGUGAUCAUAAAUGUGAUCAGACAAUGGUUGUGUAGAAUUAGAAGAGUAAUUAAUUAGCAUGAAUUAUUAAGGGUUAAUGAUGUGUGUUAUAGCUGUAAUGUUCUUAGUAAAAAGACUAAGAAAUGUGAACGGUUUCAUUUCUACAUUCUCUGAGUACACCUAUGAGAUUUGUGAGAGAGAACA